GAUGAACGCUAGCGGCAGGCCUAAUACAUGCAAGUCGAGGGGUAGAAGAGGCUUGCUUCUUUGAGACCGGCGCACGGGUGCGUAACGCGUAUGCAACCUACCUUCAUCUGGGGGAUAGCCCGGAGAAAUCCGGAUUAAUACCGCAUAAAAUCACAGGAGGGCAUUAUCGAAUGAUCAAACAUUUAUGGGAUGGAGAUGGGCAUGCGUGUCAUUAGCUAGUUGGCGGGGUAACGGCCAACCAAGGAGACGAAGACUAGGGGAUCUGAGAGGAUGGCCCACCACAAUGGUACUGAGACACGGACCAGACUCCUACGGAAGGCAGCAGUAAGGAAUAUUGGUCAAUGGAGGCAACUCUGAACAAGCCAUGCCGCGUGCAGGAAGACUGCCAUAUGGGUUGUAAACUGCUUUUAUUCGGGAAUAAACCUUAUUACGUGUAAUAAGCUGAAUGUACCGAAGGAAUAAGGAUCGGCUAACUCCGUGCCAGCAGCCGCCGUAA
rnacentral:rRNA from 1 species